rnacentral:sRNA from 1 species
GCCAGGCAUGGUGGUGCAUGCCUGUAAUUCCAGUCACUCAGGAGGCUGAGGCAGGAGGACUGCAAGUCAAGGCCAGUCAGGGAAACCUAGUGAGAUCCUGUCUCAA